AGAGUUUGAUCCUGGCUCAGAUUGAACGCUAGCGGGAUGCUUUACACAUGCAAGUCGGACGGCAGCACGAAGAGCUUGCUCUUUGGUGGCGAGUGGCGAACGGGUGAGUAAUGUAUCGGAACGUGCCCAGUAGCGGGGGAUAACUACGCGAAAGCGUGGCUAAUACCGCAUACGCCCUACGGGGGAAAGGGGGGGAUCGCAAGACCUCUCACUAUUGGAGCGGCCGAUAUCGGAUUAGCUAGUUGGUGGGGUAAAGGCCUACCAAGGCGACGAUCCGUANCUGGUUUGAGAGGACGACCAGCCACACUGGGACUGAGACACGGCCCAAACUCCUACGGGAGGCAGCAGUGGGGAAUUUUGGGACAUGGGGGGCACCCUGAUCCAGCCAUCCCGCGUGUGCGAUGAAGGCCUUCGGGGUUUGUAAAGCACUUUUGGCAGGGAAGAAAACAGUCGGGUUAA
rnacentral:rRNA from 1 species